rnacentral:rRNA from 1 species
GCACAGGAGAGCUUGCUCUCUGGGUGGCGAGUGGCGGACGGGUGAGGAAUACAUCGGAAUCUACUCUGUCGUGGGGGAUAACGUAGGGAAACUUACGCUAAUACCGCAUACGACCUACGGGUGAAAGCAGGGGAUCUUCGGACCUUGCGCGAUUGAAUGAGCCGAUGUCGGAUUAGCUAGUUGGCGGGGUAAAGGCCCACCAAGGCGACGAUCCGUAGCUGGUCUGAGAGGAUGAUCAGCCACACUGGAACUGAGACACGGUCCAGACUCCUACGGGAGGCAGCAGUGGGGAAUAUUGGACAAUGGGCGCAAGCCUGAUCCAGCCAUACCGCGUGGGUGAAGAAGGCCUUCGGGUUGUAAAGCCCUUUUGUUGGGAAAGAAAUCCAGCUGGCUAAUACCCGGUUGGGAUGACGGUACCCAAAGAAUAAGCACCGGCUAACUUCGUGCCAGCAGCCGCGGUAAUACGAAGGGUGCAAGCGUUACUCGGAAUUACUGGGCGUAAAGCGUGCGUAGGUGGUCGUUUAAGUCCGUUGUGAAAGCCCUGGGCUCAACCUGGGAACUGCAGUGGAUACUGGGCGACUAGAGUGUGGUAGAGGGUAGCGGAAUUCCUGGUGUAGCAGUGAAAUGCGUAGAGAUCAGGAGGAACAUCCAUGGCGAAGGCAGCUACCUGGACCAACACUGACACUGAGGCACGAAAGCGUGGGGAGCAAACAGG